rnacentral:lncRNA from 1 species
CUCUCUCUCUCUGAUACAUCAUCUUCUUCAAAACCCACCAUCAGGUCCUCACCAUUGUUCUUCCUUCCAGCCGCCACAAAUCAACCAACAAAAAAUACAACCCAACACCAGGUAUGUUAUUGUCCUCAUAUCCCUUUAUUCUUCUUCUUUCUCUUCUCCCUUUUUUCUCUCUUAAUUUAAAAAAACCCAGAUUUAGGGACACUCCAAACCUCUGUUAUGUUGAUGAUGAGGCAGCGAUGGCACACCCAUUCUUUCUCACUGGAGAAGAUGAACAAAAACCAAACCAGAUCCUAGCCUCAAGGUCGUAAAAUAACGAUGAUCAAUCAGCGACGGUUACAAACGAUGCCAUACAAAUCCAAGUAACAUCUUUCUCUCUCUCUCUCUCUCUCUCUAUCAUGCCCAUUGCCUUCUUCCCAUAAAAUAUCAAACACACACAUUCUCUUUGAGAAUUAAACACACACACACACACUAUCGUUUACAUUUGUUUCCAAAAGUAAUUUUAGGGCUUUUAGCCCUAGAAAUUAGAUACAAGUUCACUUACUAUCCUUUUCAUUUAUUUCAGAUGUUCAAUUGUUCAUAAUAAUCGAUUUUGGUGUUGAUUGUGUUAGAUUGCAGAGGAGGUAAUUGGAUAUCAGUGCUUCACUGGAAACCUCUUUUUGGAUUCAAUCAUUUUUUGUGAGUUUUAUUUAUGUUUGGGUUCUGCUCUAAUGUGAAUUGCUAUAUCAUACUGUAUAAUGUAAAGGUGAAGAACAAUAAUUAUAGAUUUAGGGCUUCUCCUUUGAACUCGAAAAUCAGGAAUAAAAAGAUGAAAUCAAAGAAAUCUUGAUGCCUGUAACUUCAAUAAACUCAGAAGCGGAUAGAGGACCGAUACCGAUGAAGAGAUCUGAUCAGCCGCUUGUGUUUGUGUGUGUGUGUGUGUGAGAGAGAGAGAGAGAG